rnacentral:rRNA from 1 species
AACGAACGCUGGCGGCGUGCCUAACACAUGCAAGUCGAACGAGAAGUACGUAGCAAUACGUAUUGUAAAGUGGCGCACGGGUGAGUAACACGUGGGUAAUCUGCCCUUGAGUUUGGGAUAACCCCGCGAAAGCGGGGCUAAUACCGAAUAAGACCACGGGGACCAAAGUCCCUGAGGUAAAAGACGGCCUCUAUUCAUAAGCUGUCACUUGAGGAUGAGCCCGCGGCCCAUUAGCUAGUUGGUAGGGUAACGGCCUACCAAGGCGAUGAUGGGUAGCUGGUCUGAGAGGACGAUCAGCCACACUGGAACUGAGACACGGUCCAGACUCCUACGGGAGGCAGCAGUGGGGAAUAUUGCGCAAUGGGCGAAAGCCUGACGCAGCAACGCCGCGUGGGGGAUGAAGGUUCUCGGAUUGUAAACCCCUUUCGAUCGGAACGAAUCUCCUCCUGGUAAAUAAUCAGGAGGAUCGACGGUACCGGGAGAAGAAGCCACGGCUAACUCUGUGCCAGCCGCCGCGGUAAUAC